rnacentral:rRNA from 1 species
AUCCUACUAAAGGUGGCCUCUACUUGUAAGCUAUCGCUUUACGAUGGGUCUGCGUCUGAUUAGCUAGUUGGUGGGGUAACGGCCUACCAAGGCGACGAUCAGUAGCCGGUCUGAGAGGAUGAACGGCCACAUUGGAACUGAGACACGGUCCAGACUCCUACGGGAGGCAGCAGUGGGGAAUCUUCCGCAAUGGGCGCAAGCCUGACGGAGCAACGCCGCGUGAGUGAAGAAGGGUUUCGACUCGUAAAGCUCUGUUGUCGGGGACGAAUGUGGAGAUGGUGAAUAACCAUUUUCAAUGACGGUACCUGACGAGGAAGCCACGGCUAACUACGUGCCAGCANCCGCGGUAAUACGUAGGUGGCGAGCGUUGUCCGGAAUUAUUGGGCGUAAAGGGAGCGCAGGCGGGAAGGUAAGUCUAUCUUAAAAGUGCGGGGCUCAACCCCGUGAGGGGAUGGAAACUAUCNUUCUUGAGUGCAGGAGAGGAAAGCGGAAUUCCUAGUGUAGCGGUGAAAUGCGUAGAUAU